CGUCCUCCGCCUCCCCCACCACCGCUGCCGCCGCCCCCUCCUCCUCCGGCCGCCACCGUGCCCCUCCAGCCCCCAGCCGAGGCGGCGCGCCAUUGAUGCAGAAGUGGGCCCCCGCCGACCCCUCCGCGCCCGCGCCCGCCCCCUCCCCGGGCCACGCGCCCUCCACCUCCAUCGAUCGCAUCGUCCACCGCCUUCGCAACCUCGGCCUCGGCACCGACGACGAUGAGCCCUCUCCUCCCCCAUCGUCGCCCCGCUCGACGACAGGGAGCGCCUCGGCGACCUGCUCGACCGCAGCUGGGCGCGCCCCGACCGCCAGUUCGCCGCCUCCGGCCUCGACGAGGCAGUCCUCCCGUGGAGAGGGACCGGGAGAGCGACGGUGAGGAGGCGGACGGGGUCAAGAGGAAGCGGGUCAGGGCGACCUCACUGGCGGAGCUCACCAUGGACGACGUGGAGCUGCGCCGCCUGCAGGGCAUGGGCAUGACUCUCAAGGACCGCAUCACCGUGCCCAAGGUCGGGGUCACGCAGGCCAUCACAGAGAAGAUCCACGACGCCUGGAGGAAGUCCGAGCUGGUCCACCUCAAGUUCCACGAGGACCUCGCCAACGACAUGAAGACUGCCCAUGAGCUUGUCGAGUUCCUUUCAGUCAGCUAAACGUCAAUAUGUUGGAUGAUGUUGUGGAGAGGGCCACCGAGAGGGGGUUUGCAUUGCCAAAGUCGAAGGUGGCCAUUGCCUUGACCUGCCUGGACCUCUUGACCUUUAACAACGCUCAAACAGGAAACACAUGUUGGAGGAGGAGACCACAAGCUAAUUGAUGAUUUGGAUGAGUGGAUCAGAGGACGACAUGAGCAGCUCAAGUCUCUCAACACGCGGAUGGAUGAUGUUGUGGAGAGGGCCAUCGGGAGGGGGUUUGCAUUGCCAAAGUUGAAGGUGGCCAUCGCCUUGACCUGCCUGGACCUCCUGACCUUUCACAACGCUCAAACAGGAAACACAUGUUGGAGGAGGAGACCACAAGCUAAUUGAUGAUUUGGAUGAGUGGAUCAGAGGAUGACAUGAGCAGGUAUUUCCAUUUGAUCAUACCCAAAAUGAUAAUGUAUACCCUAACUUAGGAUGAUGGCUCUUCUACUCUGCUAACAUAACAUGCAUGUGCUUGUGUGGAGUGCCUGCAAAAUUAAUAUCUCAAGUCUCUCAACACGCAGAUGUGGAGAGGGUUCUCCUAGCGGUCAUUGAAACUGUGAUAUGCAUUUCCUUGCUCUCGGCUCUGAUCAAAUUUGUAGCGUCUGGGAAUGUGCACAUGAAAAUCCACAUGACCUUAGCGGACCAUUGCAAUGCGGCAAAUCAAAUUUCAAUACUCAACACUCUUCUAUGUGGAUUAACGAAGGGCAUGACGGAUGGCACUAGCGGAAAGGUGAGCACCGGUGGAGAUAAGCGAGAAAAGGAGUAGCGCGAGGCGGUAGGCAGCCUUGAAGAGGAUGAGUGGGCCCGCUGCUAGGGGAUGGUCCUAGGGAUUUUUGAAUCAACGAGAGCAGUGUCGGCCCAGGCUAUCUAGAAUGAUUGCAUGUAUUAAUGAAGUAGUCCACGUUAGGUGGAUUGGCUCAAAAUGGAGAAGCAUGAUUGUAUUAAGCAUUUAAGCUCUAAGCAAUUUAGAAUGUCAAUGUCUUGGGGCUCCCUUGCAAUAUUUCAGAGAACUAUAUUUUUUCCGACAUUUUAUAUUGCCUCACGAUGUUUGGGGGAUCUGAUUAGGUAUUGUUUCUCUAUAUAAAAAUCCAUCUCUCUAUUUUAGUUGCUAAUAGAAUAAUGAACAAUUGAUAGGACUAAUCUUAUAGACUUGUUUUCUCCUUAAUCCGACUGUGUAUUUUCCAAGUUUUGUGCUGAAACGGGAAAAACAUAUGUUUUAAACUUGCGACAACAUAUUCUGUGCAAAUUUUAGCCUUGUUGUUCACAAUUGAUGCUGCCUGUGAUUCACACUUAUAUUUGAGCUUAAAGUCUGAGUGUAUACCGAAUUAGGCUUUCCCUUCGGUCGAUUUAUGUCAGAGUUCACACUACAACACACAUUUUCUUUUGAGUGUUAUGUGAGUUACUUUUGAACCGAUACACCAAAUCAGGUGUUACACCGCUCAAACAAACUAGAAGAAAAUCAUGAAUGAAUUUAUCACAAUAUUAUAAAAAUACAAAUAAAUGUAUACACAAUUUUUUAACAAUAAAUGUUAUCAAAGAUUGAUGUAUUUACCUCUCCCAAGAUAGUAACAUGUUCUAGAAGAUGUGUUUUGUUGCAGUAGUACCUAAAUGGUGAAUUGCAUGUUCUAGAAUAUAGGCUUUUGCAUAUUGCAAUCAAGUUCUUUUUUUAUGGAAUUGAGUUUCUGGUUGUAACUUGUUCGAACAUUUGUUU